UGAAUGCCGCCAAAAGAUAAAAAGAAAACUUGACUAAGAUCAAAAGUUGGCACUUUUAAAUUGUGUUGGACAACUUGUAGAUGGUUAUUGCAUUAAAAGCAAGCAAACUUUGUGGAAAAAAAUAUUGCUGUGUGAACCAAGUAAAAUCGCUCAGAUACAGUUCUAGGUGAGUGUGUGUUUCUUCAAGUGUGAAAUUCAAGCAAUGAGCAGCUUAAGAGACAACAGGAAUAAAAUUGCAAAUCUCCUGCCACAAUAAACAACACCAUAAUUCAGUGUGUGUAUUUUAUCUGUGCGUUCUCGGUGUACACUGCAGACAGUUGCAAAUGUUAUUUAUACGCAAUUCCAACAUACGACUUAGUAACUAAAAGCCAGAAAUUUAUUAUGAUGGAUACUUAAUAAAAACGUGGCAAGGUCAGCUAAAAUAACAAGCACACUCACAGAAAUGAAUGUCAACGCGAUUUAAGUGCGCUCAGCACUUGGUGGGGGUCCAUAAAGGAAUCUGGACCGGAACGUGACUUUUGGCGAAUGUAACUUUAAGCCACAGUGCGAUAAAAAAAAAAACUGCAAUGCCAACCUGAGCGAAUUUCGCUGGUGCAAUC